UGAUCACCGAUUGCAUCACGCUGUACAAGUCAAGAUGAACGUCACACGCGUGCUAGAUGGAGUUAAUCCUUGGUGAUGCUGAUACGAGAGUUACACCACGUGAAGCACACAGACCGGAAGCACGUAAACGCCUCUACUCUACUGCCUGGGCUAAUGCAUCACCAUAAACCAUCUUAGCACAUUUAUUAUUACCCCUGAAAAUUAUCUAUACAUGCUGUUACGGUCUAGACAUGUAACCUACCGGAACGCACUGAUGUCCGUGUAAUGUGCUAAUCUAACGUUUUCUCAGUACUCAGUUUUUUCCCAUAUACAGAUAAUUCUUCUAUUGCGUCAUGGGAAAUUUUGGGCUUUAUAAGGUUCGUAAGGAAGGAGUAAGCGUCAGUUCAUCGUUGGCAACCUUUGGACGCCCACCUGCGUACGGUUGUUAUCAAGACACGCGCGCCAGAACGUGUCUUCCUUUGACAAGAGUUGAACAGAAAGGGAGGGAGCAGUAACGUCCCCUCGUAGUUCUUACAGUGUGUGAAGUGUUUGACUGAACGAGUGUUUGAAACAUACACUGAUAUCUGAAAGAAGAGAUAAUAGAAAGGAGAAGAGAUAAAAAAAUAGUUCGACACAUACAAGUUCUCACGUCGAAGUACAUGGUGUAAUUCUCUCAACCUGUGUGUGUGUGACAGACAAAGCUAACCCCAUGGCACACAAACUGUUCUUUCGGAGGAAUAAAGAGAAGGCGUGUGAGGCAUGUCAGGAGCUUGAAUCAGGCCUUCCAUGCUACGACUGCACCUUCGCCCUGCAGAGCCCACCACCUAAAUACACCUCCUUCGAUAGCCCAUACACUGUAUCUCUGGAGGACGACCCGGUCUGCAACGUGUCGACCCUAGCGCAAGGUGUGAGCAGGUUAGGUGUGGCUCUUGCGUUGGCUAUCGACCCGGGUCAAGGAGUGGUGUCCAGCCAUCACAUUGUGGUGAGCAGCAGAGUGCGGCAUUUUAGCGAACAGAGGCCUGCUUCUACGAGAGGAAGAGCAUGUGGUCUCCCCCGGAACGCCUCAUCUCCUAACCUACGGCACCUGAACAACCUGAUCUUUCCCGAGCGACCCAGUUCACCUUUACAUGGGCCUUCCCAGUCAUCGGUAGAGGAGGUACAAGCACAACUAGCGAGAGAGGAGGAGCUACUACUAUCAAUGGCGCUGGAUGAGCCACAGGAGGAGGAGGCUGAGGAGCUCCCACUCUCCUCAGACGAAGAGCCUCACGUCCUGCUCGCCGCCCUCGCUACCGUCACGUCAAACUCCGAACCCACACUCGAGAUGGAAAGGGAGUCUAGUCCUCUGCCAUGUCAGUUGCUUAUUCCGGAGUGAGUGAUGUACCAGCGCCUAUCCAUUGUUCAAUCAUGCACUCACUCCAGCGAUCUCUACCUUUCAAUGAGCAUAGGCGAGAGGCGAAGGCAAGGAAUUUAGACUCCUUGGGGCCUUGGGUGAAGUGGUGUCCAAAGCUCUUGGCAUAUUAUCACUCCUCAGACGCUUUAAGCUCUCACGACAGCUAUCUCCAAAGGCCACACAGGAGGUUUUAGUCAGUUUCUCAUGAGUGCUUUUUACGUCUAUAUGGUGCAGAAGCCUAGUCAGACAAACACUAUAGACUCGUAAAUCUAUACCCAUGGGGAUACCCAGACACUAUCUAUACGAAAGCCUUAUCAAAUGAGGGUGUGUAAGCUCCGAAAUGUUUAAUAUGGGGCAAAGAUGAUUGAUCAGGGCAUUUAUAAGGCUCGACCAUAAGUUUUUCUCAUAGAUGGUUAUGCUCUCCUGCAACUGCGAGGUCUCAAAACAAGGCUGAUCACAGUAGUUGAUAAGCUCAAUGGCCUUGUAUCCACGCACCUCCUUUAAUUAAUUCUCCGCUUUGCUCGCCGUCUCUCACAAACUUCCCGCUCAUUUUUAAAAUUUAUUUAUAUAUACCAAAACGUAAUUUAUAAAUACAUCACGCAAUAAAGACAUCGAAUAUAUGUGUAACAGU